rnacentral:lncRNA from 1 species
CUCAUGAGUCGACUCAUGCCUUGUGGGUCGACUCAUGAGUCGACUCAUAGGUCGUGCCAAGCCAAAAAUCCAGCGUGCCAAGGGAAAUUUUUACGUGCCAAUCAGCUCAUUGUGCCAUGAGUUGACUCAUGAGUCGACUCAUGCACUUCAAACAUUCAUAACUUCAAAAAUAUAAGUCCAAAAAUAAUAAAAUUUUCACCAAUAGAUUCCAAAUCAUUUAUUCUACCAAAUGAUACUAUCAAAUCAGGAUUUUAAUAAAAUUAUGAUUUUGCCCCUGA